GGGGAGAUAGCUCAGUGGUAAAGCACCUGCCUAGCAUACAUGAGGCUUGAGUUCAAUCUCCAUCACCACA
rnacentral:tRNA from 1 species